rnacentral:rRNA from 1 species
GACGUAGGGCGCGAGCGUUGUCCGGAUUUAUUGGGCGUAAAGAGCUCGUAGGCGGUGUGUCGCGUCGGCCGUGAAAACCUGCAGCUUAACUGUGGGCUUGCGGUCGAUACGGGCAUCACUGGAGUUCGGCAGGGGAGACUGGAAUUCCUGGUGUAGCGGUGGAAUGCGCAGAUAUCAGGAGGAACACCGGUGGCGAAGGCGGGUCUCUGGGCAGUAACUGACGCUGAGGAGCGAAAGCGUGGGGAGCGAACAGG